rnacentral:lncRNA from 1 species
CCGGGUGACCACGCCCCUCGACCCCGAGCCUGCCUCAGGCCGCAGUUGUUUCCCGCCCUGUGUUCCUCUGGUUAAAUAUUAUCGAUCUUUCCUGGUUCACCCACCGCGAAUACCGUGAGAGCAAGGGGAGGGGAGAAAAGGCGGGAAAAACAAAAACACACACACCUCCUCAGCACACAGCUCUGCUCUCUCUAGACCCCGCCCCUAAAGGGAAGGAGCGGGCAGCAGGCAAGGCUGACGCGUCCGGCGCCAUCUUUCAAGUGGGCGGAACGAGUCGCGGCUGAUGCGCCCCAUUUCCUCGUGGGACACCGUAGGAAUGUAUUGUGUGCUGCUUCAGAGCUGGAGCUGAGGACUUGUUGAUUACCUCCCAUUUACCAAAUUACAGCAAAUUAGAUUGAACUGUGACUGGCAUGUGAACGAUCUGAUGUUGGACAUGGAUGAGGAAUAUUGCUCUAUAAACCACAUCGCUGCCCAUUUCCCGUAGUGUCCAGCAUGACUCGAAAGGCUCUCCACGAUCUGCUUCCAGCUGACUUUUCAAGGUGUCAUUCUUCCUGCGCUUUCCCCAUGUUCCUUGCAGAUCUGCGAGUGAUUACUGCUCUGUAAUCACCCACACAGUUCCCUCAGCCUGGAAUGCCCUUACCUUUCCAAUUCUGUGUGAAGAAAUCUUAUUAACUGCAGCAUCAUGUUGCUUCCUCCAGGAAGUCUCCCUGGAUUUCCCCAGGUAGAAUCAAUGUGUCAUUCUAUUGUGCAUCCUUAACCUCCACUGUUAAUAUAAAAACCAAACUCUUUGUAUUUAUACUUUACAUUUUGAGGGCAAAUAAUGGUCAUAUAAUACUGAAGCUAGAAGCUAUUAGAGAUAGUUAGAGCAACACAACAUAGGGUUUAAAGGCAUCAGCUUUAGGCUUAAAUCCUGGCUCAAAAACUUUAUAACCUUGGGUGAGUUACUUAACAUCUUGAACCUCAAUUUCCUCCUUUUGAAAAUGAGGUUGCUUUGAAGAUGAAAGGAGAUAAUCCAUAUAAAAUGUUUGCCCUGAUACCUGCCAUGUCGUAAUUGCUCAUUAAGGUUGGCCACUAUUAUCACAUGGUAGAUGCCCAAUUGGUGUUUGUUAAAUAAAUCUAUUCCCAAUUCCCAGUUUACAGAUGAAGAUAUUGAGAGGGCAAGGAAAAGGGACACUCGAGCUCACACUUGAGAUCCAUAACCAAUGCCUUUGUGCACCAGCAGCGGGGUGAGAGCUCUUUCUGCCCUAUCAACCUAAGGCGGGUAGAAGUCAUCUUGUCACUAGACUGCCACUUGUGGACGGGGACCUUGUCUGAUUCACCUCUGUCUGCCCCUUGCCUCUAAGCAUCGUGCCUUGCUUCUUGUAGAUUCUCGGUAAAUACUGAAUGCAAUUUAACAUCAGAAAAGAAUAAAUUAAGAAAAUUCCUUUAAUCAGUGCAUAGAUUUGACUUCGCAGAAUUUUACUAAGCUCCAGAUAUGGCACAUGAUCAGGUGACAUUAAUAAGGAAAAGCUUAAAUUGAAUGUCAUUGCUUUUUUUUAGGUGACACAAACCGGCCACUUAAGCAUCAAGAUUUCGAGAUUAGAGUAAACAUUUCAUAUCCUACCAACUGAAAAGGAUAAAAAAUUCAGACACAUUAUUUUAAACCUGCAAUUGUACCCGUGGCAUUAAUCAUCAGUUUCAAAUUUGAUCAUGAAAGAUAAGCAAGUAUUGCCUUUAUGGAAGUAAUGGAAUUUGCCAAGUUGUUAUCAUGAAGGUUAAUUAGGACUCUGUGAGAGCAAGCAACUGAGUCACAGGCAGUAAGUCUGUUUUCGAAAACAUAGAAAGGGAUGGAUUGUCAUGUCAUUUUUUUCAUCUUAAGAGAUAUAAAAGAGAAAUAGUGCUCGAACAUUGCUGAUCAUGUCUCAAGACUAUCACUUGCUUUUACAAGAUAGUGCAUUAAGAAAAGAACGAAAAUACUGCACGGAAAAUGGCAUAAGGAUCUAAUUCUGAAGCACUUUUUCCACUAAGGAACUAAACAUUAUAAGUCAGGAGAUGUGCACAAUUCUCUUCUGAACACAGAGGAAAAAGAAAAGAAAAGGAAAUGUUCCCUUUGAUGAAUAGCAAAUAGCUAACGCUCUUCUGGUUUUGCUACACCAAGAUCCAGAAGGUAGUACUUACUGAGCCUCAACCCUCCUCAGUAACCUGGGUAGCCUGAGUCAGAGGAAUCCAGCAUCCAUACUCCUAAACUAUCCUGUUGGACCCUGUUUACUGAUGGAAGUCCUUCCCAGUUGUGAGUGUCUUCUGACUAGUGCAGUUCCAGGACCAGUGACAUUGGAUAAAUCCAGCUGCAAAGGAAGGUGGGUGGUCUUUAAACCUAAAGUCAAGCAAAUCUGGCAGAUGGAGUUCACCUCAAGUGCAAACACCAUUCAGUGGUCGUGGUGCCUGGAUCCCUUUCUCCAGAAGGCUUGUGACAGCAGUGCUGUGACUGAGUAACGCUGGCCGUCUGCCCCAGCUGCACAUGGGCAUUCACGAUGGUCUGCUGUUGCAUCUCUGCUGUCCUACCCUACCUUGACCAAGACUUCUCCCUGUGGCUGGGCUGCCCUCACUCCCUGUCAGCUAGCUCACACCUCACUGGAUUUACUUCCUUAUUCUGUUGCACUUGUUUUCAUCGAGUUGAGAAACAUAGGACUCCCA